CAAAAGUUACUAUCUAUCUAGAAACUAAUGGGAAUACAGGAAAACAAAAAAAUAGACAACAAAAUGGCUUUGUUUCAGGGUAAGUGCCAUACAAAGGCAGGAAUGUUCAUUGAGCAGUCUCCACAUAGUCACUAUCAGGAUAUCUUUACAGAGCUCAGUGAUGUAGUGUUCAUUGAAAUUUCAUCUCUCAUGGAUAACCUUAUCUGUUGGUUCUGUCUUAUGAAAGUUCCUCUGAAAAUUUUCUCUAAUUUCUGUGUAUUUCAUGCCUUAGAUCUUGCAUGCUAUUAUAAACACUUGUUCUUCCAUGAUCAACUCUGCAUCACUUUGAGCUCUGUAAAGAUACAACAGUUGCCAUAGGGAUAUUCAAUGAGCAGUUUCCACAUUUUUGUUAGGCACUUAUUUUGAAAUAAAGCUAUUCUGUUGUUUUAAUCCUGCUUUCUUGUAUUCCCAUUAGUUUUUGGCCCCUGAGGGUGGGGGUCAGAAUUCACCCGACGUCUGGCCUGCGUGUCAUAAGAGACAACUAAAGGGCCUCCAAUGUUAAGGUGUAAGCUACCAUGCCGAGAAGAUGAAUGGCAGAGGGAGAGAAGUCUUGAACGGUGCCUGUCCAGAGCUUGGUCAACUCUUGAUGGAUGGAGGAAACUUCCGUUACUUUGUGUGGAUACAGAUGGGCCAUGCCCACAUUGAUACUUUCUACCUGCCAGUAUAAAAUCUCUCAUGGAUGAAAACAUUAAAAAUUCAAAAAAUCUUAAAAAGUUAUUGGGCUCUCUAACUAAGAGAGCCUGCACCAAUGCCAAAGUAGCAAGUGUUAACAGAGCACCACCUGAUGACAAACCUCCUACUUGCUUUAUAAUUGUUCAUUCUGAAUUCAUUGUGCCGCUAAGGAAACUGUCCCCAUUUUUUAUCGAAAAAGCCAUUUGUGGCAUUUCAUCCGAUAUACAAAAC
rnacentral:lncRNA from 1 species